CGCCAAAUUUCUCUCAUGGCCUAUUUUCUGUUAUGUUUAUAUGGACUCAUUACAAAAUUUGUCCAAAUACCAAUGAAACGUUAUUUAACUUCGUUAUUAUAAUAAAGCCCAGUAUGGUAUGUUGCUACAAAACGUACGUCAAAACAUUAUGGAGAAGACAUGAGUACUUGCGAGUAAAUCGUAUGGUAUGUAUCAUAUCGAAAACUAUGACACCACACAUUUAUAUCGAAGGUUAUUCUUUUGCUAAAAGUUCCAUGAUCCAUUGGAAUAUCACUCAUGAUUCCAUUUUGAGUAGUGAACUCAGACUGAGAAACACUGGCCUGGCUGGACAGAGAUGGUGGAACUUCUUGACUGUUAACUGGGAUUUCAAACAUGACAAAAAGUAGAAGAAAAAUGUACAACUGGACCAUUUUGUGAUAGAGGAAUUGUUUGUGCCUCUUCUGGAUACUGGCAAUAUUCAUUGAGACAUGGAUGUUGCUGCAAAGCAUGCUUACCUGAAGAAAUCGACGCUGAUAGAAGAAAAAUGGAACUGUGUAGAGUUCUAGAAGUCACCAGUCAAGAACAAGAUAUUUGUUAAACAGAACUGAAAUGUAUUUUUCUACUGCAGUAACUGAAACAACAUCUUUUGUUGCAUAAUUUGUUGUUCCUUCAUGCAAAGAAAAUAGGGAGGUGCUUCAACCCCUGGCCUCUUUAAAAUUUUGUACAGGAAAUCUACUGUUUUGUUUCGGUGAAAAACAUGGUCUCCUACAAUAUGGUAAGAAUGAACACAUAUUGAAGUUUUGAGACCUAAGUGCUGAGGAGAAUAUUUAAACCUGAAAGAAGGGAAGUAACAAGAGACUGAAGAAAAUUACACAGUGAAGAGCUUCAACUUCUCACCAGAUAUUGUUAGGGUAAUUAAAUUAAGGAUGAAGUCAGAGGGACAAGUAGCACAAACUCUUAGUUUCAAAGCAUCAAGGGGGCACAAGCUAAAACAGGAUUAUAACACAAGAAUUUACCUUAAUUGUGGUGUGGUGAGAUUGUGGGAUGGAUUAUUCACGUGCUCCAGGACAGUGUCCAGUGGCAAGCCCAUGCAAACAGUAAUUAACUGAUAAGUAUGAGUAAUGGGCAUUCAGGUUCCAUAAGAAUUAGGAGAUUUCUUGAGCAGCUGUAAACUUCUCAAGAAAUGGCCUGCACCAUGUAUUUAUUUAUUUUGUAAACUCUCACUAAAAUUGCCAGUAAUAUUUGUGUUUGUUUUCAGGCAGUUAGAACUGAUACCUGACCUUUCAUUUUUUUCCCCCUUAUGUAAUCUCAUUCUUUUUCUGGCUGUACACAAUGGUACAAACAUACCAGCAUCUUAUUUUCUAUAAUCAUAUAAUACCACUGAGCACAGACCUUUCUGAGGUGACAAUUGCUUGGCUGGUCAGGAAGUUCCUGCCUUUUAUGGAAUAUGAGGAUUCAUUACCAUGUUCACAAGAAUCUGCCACUGGAUCCUAACCCUGAACCAACUGAAUCCAGUCCAUGCCCUCAUACCGUCUUUCAUUAACACCUAUUAAUAUUAUUCUCCCCCUUACUGGUGUCUUACAUUCAGAUUAUUUGAUUAAAACCUAAUCUGCAGUUCUUAUCUUCCUCACACAUGCUACAUGUCUUUCUCAUCUGAUCCCCCUUGAUUUCAUCACGCUAAUGACAUCUGGUGAACAGUAUAAACUAAGAAGUUCCUCAUGCGAUUUUCUCCAACUUUCUGUUCCUUUCCCUUGAAUCUCAAUAUUAUUCACUCGUUCUCAGCUACCCUCAGUCUUGUGUUCCUUCCUUGUAAUGAGGGAUCAAAUUCCACUCCCGUAUGAACCAACAGAUAAAAUUAAGCUUUGUCUGAAAUAUCUUUGAGUGUGUAUCAUUACGAGUUAAUGACUUUUUUAUUGCUAGUGGAGUGGGACUAAGUCCCUUGUACUGCGACCACUUCUGGCCUAUUGUAACAGCCCCAGAUGAUAGGUGAGGGUGAUUGUGGAGCAGUUGGUGGAAUGAAGAUUGACUUUGAUCAUUACAUCAUUUGAAAGUUACUAGAUUCUAUUUUUAUCAUGUGAUUGGGAAACAAAAUUAACAUACUUGAGAUUAUUACUCCUAAUAUUAUAUUUCAGCCUCCUGUUGCACUGGUUAAUCGUUUAAUUCACACAGGUGUCUCGGUGGUUCAACUUCUUGUUUUUGUAGACUGAUGGUGUGCUACUUUGUCAUGUAUUUUAGUUUUCUUCUAAAACUUUCUGACCUUGUCAUUGCCAGGUAAAUUACAUAUAUAGCUGCUGCAGUGUAUUGCUUUUUAGUCCUUUGUUCUAAAAUACUGCUAAGCUUGGUUAAAAUUAGAUCUAAACCAUUACUGAAUUUGGUUAAAAUUAAAAGUUGUUUACUUUCUUAACUAACAUUUUAGGUUUCUAGUAAACUGUUGUUUUUCAAACUGUAGUGUGGAUUGAUGUUCAUUAUGGCAUAGUUUUGUAUAGCGUUGAUGGACCAUCCACAAAAACAAACCGUAACUCCUUUUGCUUUGAUUUCUAGAAUGACUGACCAUAAAUGCCUCACUGUUAAAUGUUUGCAUCUUUCCUUCUGGCAAUGGCCUACUCUCUGAUCAGAAUGUGCCUUUUCCAUUUCUGAUUGAUUACUUCCUCCCCCAAGACACUGAUGAAUCAAUUUUAUCGACUGC